GAUGAAGAACGCAGCGAAAUGCGAUAAGUAAUGUGAAUUGCAGAAUUCAGUGAAUCAUCGAAUCUUUGAACGCACCUUGCACCCUUUGGCAUUCCGAAGGGUAUGCUCGUUUGAGUGUCAUUGUACUCUCACACUCCCGAUCUUUGGAUUGGGAGUGGUGGACUUGGGUGUUGCUGCAGCAGCUCUUACUGCGUGGCUCACCUCAAAUGCAUUAGUGCAACUCCUGGUUGGACAUAGUACGGCGUGAUAAGUGUCUUCGCCGGCGCCUCGCAAGAGGGUGGCUGAUUGGGAGCUCUGUGCUUCUUAACUGUCUUUGGACAAUCUCUGACAACUUGACCUCAAAUCAAGUAGGACUACCCGCUGAACUUAAGCAUAUCAAUAAGCGGAGGA
rnacentral:misc_RNA from 1 species